rnacentral:rRNA from 1 species
GAUGAACGCUGGCGGCGUGCCUAAUACAUGCAAGUCGAGCGAACGGACGAGAAGCUUGCUUCUCUGAUGUUAGCGGCGGACGGGUGAGUAACACGUGGAUAACCUACCUAUAAGACUGGGAUAACUUCGGGAAACCGGAGCUAAUACCGGAUGAUAUUUUGAACCGCAUGGUUCAAAAGUGAAAGACGGUCUUGCUGUCACUUAUAGAUGGAUCCGCGCUGCAUUAGCUAGUUGGUAAGGUAACGGCUUACCAAGGCAACGAUGCAUAGCCGACCUGAGAGGGAGAUCGGCCACACUGGAACUGAUACACGGUCCAGACUCCUACGGGAGGAAGCAGUAGGGAAUCUUCCGCAAUGGGCGAAAGCCUGACGGAGCAACGCCGCGUGAGUGAUGAAGGUCUUAGGAUCGUAAAACUCUGUUAUUAGGGAAGAACAUAUGUGUAAGUAACUGUGAACAUAUUGACGGUACCUAAUCAGAAAGCCACGGCUAACUACGUG